rnacentral:misc_RNA from 1 species
GUUAGGUGUGCAGAGGAAGGAGAUGCUGAGGCCGGCGUCGGAGAGGGCAGCGGCGAGGUGGAUGAAUGGGUUCAUGUGCCCAAAGGCCAGCCAUGGCAGCAUAGCCACGCGAAGGAUGGAUUCAUCGCCCAUCUCUCUCCCCGUAAAAGGAGGGCACCGAUACUUAUUGGUAUGAGAUUUAGGAGAUAUCCUAUGCGAUAUGGG